ensembl:snoRNA
GUGGCUCCAAAUCAAGGCCAACAGUUUGUUUGUUUGAAACAGCUGGUUUCAAGCAGGUGCCUAAAGAAAUGUCUUUCUGUAGUCUGUUGGCCAUUUCAGAAACUUGGAAAUGUAAUGGUCAAUUCAUUAGAAAAAAACAAGU